UCGAACGCGAAAGGGGCUUCGGCCCUGAGUAGAGUGGCGAACGGGUAAGUAACACGUGGGUGACCUACCUUCGAGUGGGGGAUAACGUCCCGAAAGGGACGCUAAUACCGCAUGACAUCCUGCCUUUGAAGAGGCGGAGAUCAAAGCUGGGGAUCGCAAGACCUGGCGCUGGAAGAGGGGCUCGCGUCCGAUUAGCUAGUUGGUGAGGUAAUGGCUCACCAAGGCGACGAUCGGUAGCCGGCCUGAGAGGGCGGACGGCCACACUGGGACUGAGACACAGCCCAGACUCCUACGGGAGGCAGCAGUGGGGAAUUGUUCGCAAUGGGCGCAAGCCUGACGACGCAACGCCGCGUGGAGGAUGAAGGUCUUCGGAUUGUAAACUCCUGUUGCCCGGGACGAAUGGCCACGACCUAACACGUCGUGGUGUGACGGUACCGGGUGAGGAAGCCCCGGCUAACUCUGUGCCAGCAGCCGCGGUAAUACAGAGGGGGCAAGCGUUGUUCGGAAUUACUGGGCGUAAAGGGCGCGUAGGUGGCCUGCUAAGUCGAACGUGAAAUCCCCGGGCUCAACCCGGGAACUGCGUCCGAUACUGGCAGGCUUGAAUCCGGGAGAGGGAUGUGGAAUUCCAGGUGUAGCGGUGAAAUGCGUAGAUAUCUGGAGGAACACCGGUGGCGAAGGCGGCAUCCUGGACCGGUAUUGACGCUGAUGCGCGAAAGCCAGGGGAGCAAACGGGAUUAGAUACCCCGGGUAGUCCUGGCCCUAAACGAUGAAUGCUUGGUGUGGCGGGUAUCGAUCCCUGCCGUGCCGAAGCUAACGCAUUAAGCAUUCCGCCUGGGGAGUACGGUCGCAAGGCUGAAACUCAAGGAAUUGACGGGGGCCCGCACAACGGUGGAACAUGUGGU
rnacentral:rRNA from 1 species